GACGUAGGGUGCGAGCGUUGCCCGGAUUUAUUGGGCGUAAAGGGCGCGUAGGCGGCCACGCACGUCCGUUGUGAAAUCGCUCGGCUCAACUGGGAGGGGUCGUGCGAUACGGGCGGGCUCGAGGCAGGUAGGGGGAAGCGGAAUUCCCGGUGUAGUGGUGGAAUGCGUAGAUAUCAGGAGGAACACCAAUUGCGAAGGCAGCUCGCUGGGACGUUACUGACGCUGAGACGCGAAAGCGUGGGGAGCAAACAGG
rnacentral:rRNA from 1 species